UCUAGAACUCGAGAUAUGGGCAGAUCUGGGCUGCAGGACAGAUUCAGACUUCUUCGUUGUUGCUACAAUUUGGACUUGAAAACGGCCUUUUUAAAUCUUGGGCUCCCCAUGAAAGUUGUAUGCCUAUGUCUUACCUUUCCAUC
rnacentral:pre_miRNA from 1 species